rnacentral:rRNA from 2 species
CCACCACUUGGGGAUAACCUUGCGAAAGUAAGACUAAUACCCAAUGAUAUCUCUAGAAGACAUCUGAAUGAGAUUAAAGAUUUAUCGGUGAUGGAUGGGGAUGCGUCUGAUUAGCUUGUUGGCGGGGUAACGGCCCACCAAGGCGACGAUCAGUAGGGGUUCUGAGAGGAAGGUCCCCCACAUUGGAACUGAGACACGGUCCAAACUCCUACGGGAGGCAGCAGUGAGGAAUAUUGGUCAAUGGACGAGAGUCUGAACCAGCCAAGUAGCGUGCAGGAUGACGGCCCUAUGGGUUGUAAACUGCUUUUAUAAGGGAAUAAAGUGAGUCUCGUGAGGCUUUUUGCAUGUACCUUAUGAAUAAGGACCGGCUAAUUCCGUGCCAGCAGCCGCGGUAAUACGGAAGGUCCGGGCGUUAUCCGGAUUUAUUGGGUUUAAAGGGAGCGUAGGCCGGAGAUUAAGCGUGUUGUGAAAUGUAGAUGCUCAACAUCUGCACUGCAGCGCGAACUGGUUUCCUUGAGUACGCACAAAGUGGGCGGAAUUCGUGGUGUAGCGGUGAAAUGCUUAGAUAUCACGAAGAACUCCGAUUGCGAAGGCAGCUCACUGGAGCGCAACUGACGCUGAAGCUCGAAAGUGCGGGUAUCGAACAGGAUUAGAUACCCUGGUAGUCCGCACGGUAAACGAUGGAUGCCCGCUGUUGGUCUGAAUAGGUCAGCGGCCAAGCGAAAGCAUUAAGCAUCCCACCUGGGGAGUACGCCGGCAACGGUGCAACUCAAAGGAAUUGACGG